rnacentral:rRNA from 1 species
CUUAAGUAGGGAAGCAUGUGAGCCAUGUGCCAAGAAAAGCCGCUAUAGAUCAUACCGUACCCGUACCGUAAACCGACACAGGUAGAUGAGGAGAGAAUCCUAAGGCCGACGGGAGAAGCAUUGUUAAGGAACUCGGCAAAAUGACCCCGUAACUUCGGGAGAAGGGGUGCCCACGCGAGUGGGCCGCAGAGAAUAGGCUCAAGCAACUGUUUAGCAAAAACACAGGUCUAUGCGAAACCGAAAGGUGAGGUAUAUGGGCUGACGCCUGCCCGGUGCUGGAAGGUUAAGAGGAGGAGUCAGGCAACGAAGCUCCGAAUUUAAGCCCCAGUAAACGGCGGCCGUAACGAUAACGGUCCUAAGGUAGCGAAAUUCCUUGUCGGGUAAGUUCCGACCCGCACGAAAGGCGUAAUGAUUUGAGCACUGUCUCGACAAUGCACCCGGUGAAAUUGAAGUACCAGUGAAGAUGCUGGUUACCUGCGCCAGGACGGAAAGACCCCAUGGAGCUUUACUCCAGUUUGAUACUGGGAUUCGAUACUGAAUGUACAGGAUAGGUGGGAGGCUGAGAAGCGUGGACGCCAGUCUGCGGUGAGCCGCUGUUGGGAUACCACCCUUUGAGUAUUGGAUUUCUAACCUGCGCCCGUGACCCGGGCGGGGGACAAUGUCUGACGGGGAGUUUGACUGGGGCGGUCGCCUCCGAAAGGGUAUCGGAGGCGCUCAAAGGUUCCCUCAGAAUGGUUGGAAACCAUUCGCAGAGUGCAAAGGCAGAAGGGAGCUUGACUGUGACACCGACGGGUGGAGCAGGUACGAAAGUAGGACUUAGUGAUCCGGUGGUAUGAAAGUGGGAUUGCCAUCGCUCAACGGAUAAAAGCUACCCUGGGAUAACAGGCUUAUCACUCCCAAGAGUUCACAUCGACGGAGUGGUUUGGCACCUCGAUGUCGGCUCAUCGCAUCCUGGGGCUGUAGCAGGUCCCAAGGGUUGGGCUGUUCGCCCAUUAAAGCGGUACGCGAGCUGGGUUCAGAACGUCGUGAGACAGUUCGGUCCCUAUCCGGCGCAGGCGUAGGAUAUUUGAGAGGAGCUGUCCUUAGUACGAGAGGACCGGGAUGGACAGACCGCUGGUGUAUCUGUUGGUGACCAACACCAUGGCAGAGUAGCCAAGUCUGGCAGGGAUAAACGCUGAAGGCAUCUAAGCGUGAAGCCCCCCUCAAGAUGAGAUAUCCCAAUAAGUAAGACCCCUUAGAGAGUAUGAGGUAGAUAGGCUUAAGGUGUAAGCAUAGUAAUAUGUUCAGCUGAUAAGUACUAAUAGGUCGAGGGCUUAUCAG